rnacentral:rRNA from 1 species
UACGGGGGGUGCGAGCGUUGUCCGGAAUCACUGGGCGUAAAGCGCGCGUAGGCGGCUCUUCAAGUCAGACGUGAAAGCCCCGGGCUUAACUCGGGAACUGCGUUUGAUACUGUCGAGCUAGAGUGUGGAAGGGGCGAUUGGAAUUCCGUGUGUAGCGGUGAAAUGCGUAGAUAUACGGAGGAACACCGGUGGCGAAGGCGGCAUCCUGGACCAAUACUGACACUGAGGAGCGAAAGCCAGGGGAGCAAACGGG